rnacentral:tRNA from 1 species
GGAGAGUUGGCAGAGUGGUCUAUUGCGGCGGUCUUGAAAACCGUUGAGGGUCAUACCUCCGGGGGUUCGAAUCCCUCAUUCUCCG